rnacentral:rRNA from 1 species
GACAGAGGGUGCUAGCGUUGUUCGGAAUUACUGGGCGUAAAGGGCGCGUAGGCGGUCUGUUAAGUUCGGUGUGAAAUCCCCUGGCUCAACUGGGGAACUGCGCUGGAAACUGGCAGACUCGAGUACCGGAGAGGAGAGUGGAAUUCCUGGUGUAGCGGUGAAAUGCGUAGAUAUCAGGAGGAACACCGGUGGCGAAGGCGGCUCUCUGGACGGAUACUGACGCUGAGGCGCGAAAGCGUGGGGAGCGAACCGG